rnacentral:tRNA from 1 species
GGGGAUGUGGCUCAGUGGUAGAGUGUCUGCCUAGCAUGCAUUAGACCCUGGGUUCGAUCCCCAGCACCACAA